UGGGGAAUUUUGGACAAUGGGCGAAAGCCUGAUCCAGCAAUGCCGCGUGUGUGAAGAAGGCCUUCGGGUUGUAAAGCACUUUUGUCCGGAAAGAAAUCCUUGGCUCUAAUACAGUCGGGGGAUGACGGUACCGGAAGAAUAAGCACCGGCUAACUACGUGCCAGCAGCCGCGGUAAUACGUAGGGUGCAAGCGUUAAUCGGAAUUACUGGGCGUAAAGCGUGCGCAGGCGGUUUGCUAAGACCGAUGUGAAAUCCCGGGCUCAACCUGGGAACUGCAUUGGUGACUGGCAGGCUAGAGUAUGGCAGAGGGGGGUAGAAUUCCACGUGUAGCAGUGAAAUGCGUAGAGAUGUGGAGGAAUACCGAUGGCGAAGGCAGCCCCCUGGGCCAAUACUGACGCUCAUGCACGAAAGCGUGGGGAGCAAACAGGAUUAGAUACCCUGGUAGUCCACGCCCUAAACGAUGUCAACUAGUUGUUGGGGAUUCAUUCCUUAGUAACGUAGCUAACGCGUGAAGUUGACCGCCUGGGGAGUACGGUCGCAAGAUUAAAACUUAAAUGAAUUGACGGGGUCAUAGCUGUUUCCU
rnacentral:rRNA from 1 species